AACGAACGCUGGCGGCGUGCCUCAGACAUGCAAGUCGAACGCGAAAGUCCCCUUCGGGGGACAAGUAGAGUGGCGCACGGGUGAGUAACACGUAGGUAAUCUACCUUCGGAUGGGGAAUAACAAUCGGAAACGGUUGCUAAUACCGCAUAAUGCAGCGGCACCUAAUGGUGACAGUUGUUAAAGCGGGGGAUCGAAAGACCUCGCGUCUGAAGAGGAGCCUGCGGCGGAUUAGCUAGNGGUAAGGUAAUGGCUUACCAAGGCGACGAUCCGUAACCGGCCUGAGAGGGCGGUCGGUCACACUGACACUGACAUACGGGUCAGACUCCUACGGGAGGCAGCAGUCGGGAAUUUUGGGCAAUGGGCGAAAGCCUGACCCAGCAACGCCGCGUGAAGGAUGAAAUCCCUCGGGAUGUAAACUUCGCAAGAACGGGAAGAAUAAGU
rnacentral:rRNA from 1 species